GGCUUCAGGUGAUCCUCCCACGUCAGCCUCCCAAAGGGUUGGGAUUACAGGCAUGAGCCACCAUGCCCAGCCCAGAUGAUUCUUAUAAGAUGAGAACCUCUCAGAAAAAGGAAGAAAGGCUUCAUCCGCAGUGGGCAUUAAAAAAAAUCAUAAACAUCUAUUCAUGGUCUUGGAAUUGAAUCUUAAGGCAAAGCAGGAUCUCAGGUAAGAUUGACAGAUGAUGAACUGGCAGCCCACACCCCAUUCCUGUUGAUAUGUUCUACCUCUUUCUAUUACUGGGGUGUGAUUACUUCAAAGCCAGGAAGAGCUGCAAUCUAAUUUUAGAAGAAUGCCCUUCUUUUACACGUUGGUGAGUAUAUAUCUUAAUAUAUGAUGUAUAUAUCUAUAUAAUUUUAGUAGUUGUAUAAUAAAAAUUGGGAUAGGUAAACAAAAGAGAGCAGCUGAAAAGUCUACCUAUAAAGGCUUCAGGCUAACAUAGUUACUUAUAUUGCUUCUACCACAAAUCUGUGGGGAUGAUUUUUAUUUGUUGGGAAGGGUUGUCUCUGAAUUUCCUGUAAAGUUUGGCAUUUUAAAUCUUUUUUUUGACUCUUCUCCUGUUAAAUAUAUAUCUUGGAAACUUGGCUGUUUCUGUUUCCUGAGCUUCACAGCGAACCAACAAACCAGCAGUAACUGUAAUCCACCUCUUAAAAUUUAAUCCCUUGGGACAGUCCAUCUCAAUGGCAGAAUAAGAAACACUCUCCUGGCAGAAUAAGGGUGAAGAUAAGCCUAUUCCUGUACUUAUCUGGGAGCACAUGUAGGUAUGAGUAACAAGACCAAGAGCUGCCAAGGGUGAAGGAAGAUGUAGGAGCCCAUGGAUUGCAUGAGGGAAAUAUGGAUCCUGUGAAGGGCAAGUUGGUUUCUUUGUGUGGACGACCCAGAUAAAGCAAUGAAAAUGGAUAAUAAGGACAGUAAGGACAAGUGCCUUCCAAGGCAUUAAGGCAAAUGAGAUUGUAGCAUGGAUACAGAAGAGAAAGGAGAGAGAGAAAAAGUAGAUGGAAAAGUAAAUGACUCAAACCUUCCAUUACUGAAAGUUCCAAAUGUUUCUUUAAUGGCAAUCACCAGAUUGUAGGCCUUCAUUUUUCACCGGUCAGCAUUCCCUCAUCUUUCUGUUCAUAACAAAUGUGAGUUCCUCUUCUGACCACUAGAGGUCUCUAGAGAAUCACGGAUCAACAUCUGAAGCCUCAUACCCUCUUGCUAUCAGCCACUCUAGGAGGUGGAAAUGUUUAUUUUUCCAACAUGAAUAGUCAGUCACAUAGUCACAAGAGAUCCAAGGCCUGAAUCUUAAAUUUCUAAAAAUUAAAAAAUGCAUAUAGCUGCUUCAGUGGGUAGCUGCCUACUCAACUUCAAGCUGGCACUGACCAUCAUCCCUCAAAUAUGUCCCUUGCUAUUUUGAUGGUAGAAAUUCUGCUAUUACACAGAAUAACAGCACUGCUUCUACUAAAAAGGCAAAUGCUGUGGAAGCCUAAUUUAUACAAUCAUAAUGAGUUAUUUAUACGAUAGUAUGAGUGACUCCGUUGGGCCUUUGCCAUUGUGAUUACGAAGGAUGACAGAUCAGGGUUGGUGGGGAGAUGAGGAGGGCAAUGAAAGAGGAGGUGAAGACAAACUUCAUCUACUUCACACCAUUGCAGAGGUCUGACCCCAGGUCCUCUUCCAACUUCCUGCCCCUCAGUAAGUGCUGUGGGUGUGUAACCCAACUCUGGGGUCAAGUGAACAAACUGCCCUCAACUUCCUUAAGGCUUCCUGUUCAAGACGAUGACUUCCAGACUUUACUGGGACACUGAUAUUAUCACCUCUGGAGUCCUUGAUGUGACUCUCUUCCUGGUCAUAUGGACUGUAGCUAUUUUGGGCGUGUCCAACAUGUUUGAUAGUGCCGGUGAUGACAAGUGUACAUUUCAACAUUCCAUUAUUUAGAACACGCAUGUAAUUAUUUGUAAUGAAUCACUGAUGACAUCUGGAGAACAAUGAAGUCCUCUUUUAAUGUUUGGAUGAUUAGCUAUCGGAAAUUUUUACUUUGAUGGUCUUUCAUUUUUAUCUCAAGGAUUUUGGAUAUUAGUUCCUGUUGCACUCUGAUGUACAUUAAUUUUUCCUACAUUUAUCUGUCCAUCAAACAUUUAUUGAGAGUCUAUUAAUUUCCUCUUACACUGAAGGCUCUAUAAAUAUGAGGAUGAAUAGGAAGAAUAGGGCAGGGUUCUCAAGAAGUUCGUCAGUUGAUAGAAGGGCCAGAUAUGUUGAGGCAGUUACGAAGUGCAUGAUAAAUAGAGAAGUACGAAGUGCAUGAUAAAUAGAGAAGUACGAAGUGCAUUGGGACUAGGAAAAAAAUAAAGAAAUACUUCUAGAAAAAUAAAGUCCAUUUUCUCAGCUUGUUUGAAAGCCAUCAUCUGUUGUUGUUAUUAUUUUUCAUCAGGGGACAGUAGUCUGAUAAUUCACCUUGAUGCCUUUGGUAUAUUUUUUAAUUGCUUUUAGCUCUUUUAAAAGGUGCUUACCACAGGGUUGAAGGGUAGAGUAUAUGUAAGGCAAUGUGGCUAGAGCCUACUGGUAUAACCCAUUCCAAAGGAGUGACCUCUUAUCUGGUCAAAGGAAGACCAGUGGCCAGUAGGGUUGCCUGUGUUUUCACAGUGGAUAUCCUGGAGCUCCUGAAGUUGGUACUACUGGAACACAGAACAUUCCCUACUGAAGAGAAUGUUAUAAAGUGCAUAUGUUCUUUCUUUCUGCAAUUUUCAAGGAUUGUGCACAUCUCUCAGUAACCUAGCCUUCUUUUGAAGCCUUGCUUACAAGACAGAAAAUUAGACAGCUGCUCCAAAAGAGUCAGAUGCUGAGAUCCAUUGUCCACCCUGGCUCCUGCUCUGAAUUGACAUCAGUUUGCAACUAGCAGUUUCAUAAAUCAAGAAAAAGAAGAAAGGUAAAUUAAUGACUGUGUUAACUAGAGGGGCUCUGAAUUUCUGCUUUACAUGUACUCAUUUUGAAUUUCACUUUUAUUAUAAUGAACUUGCAAACACAGCAUUGCAAUAGUAUAUGCACCUCCCAAAGAUGCUGGGAAAUAGCUGAUAUUUCAUCAUUUGAGGACAGUUUGUGCCUGCAAGUGGCAGAGGUGCAGGAGGAGACAAAUAAAAGGGAUGCCUACAUCCUAUUUCCAUGAAUUUCUGUCCUCUGAGCUGAAAGACAAUUUACAAGUUGGCUGAUAAGACCUUGAAGAAAGAAGAUAUUUUAAAACUUUAAUUGAAAAUCCCCAUUCCUUCUCAUUGAAGAAGCAAAAGAAGAAACUAUAAUGAUGGACACUCUGGUGCUAGUAUCAGUCAUUUUGAUCACAAGACGUGGACCAGCCCACCUUGGAGCUCACUGUGGUGGUGGCCUGGUCCUAAUGCAAGUCCUAAUGGAGCUCUUGGAACUGGCUGUAGCCUUUGCUGAGCAGGAGCAACUAUGUCUCUGGUUCUUAAGGAUUGAAAAGUGUCUGUGGCCAUCUGAAAACGUCCACAUGAUGCCAGACCAUGCUUUACUCUGAAAAUCCACCGAUAAGGUACGUUGAAGAUGGAGAACAACUGAUGUCAAGACACAUUUUGGUUGUAAGGGACAGAAGUCCAACUCCAACGAGCUUGCCAAGGAUGGAACCUGCUGGCAAACAUAACCAAACUUUGGGAAGGGCAGGGUAUGGUUAACCUCAGGUUUCUGGAAGCAGAGUGUACAGUGCUGUGCCGUCCCUCUUCUCUCUGCUUCUCUCUGCGUAUUGGCCCUAUCCUCUCAGUGGGGCACCCUCCCUGAGCAGCGAACAGCAGCCACAGGAAGCUCCAGUGUCAAUGCCUCCCACAGCUUUCCAGAGAAGCAGCAGCCUCUUUGUUAGCUCCGUAUCAAAGACAUCCACAGGCAGGGCUUUGUGUGACCCAGUUUGGGUCACGUCUUUAUUUGGGGCCCGGAGGAAAUGGAUACAAUGACUACAGCCCAUCAUAGAACCUCAUGUUUAGAGGACCAAAUUUCCUCUCUCCAAAAGUGAAAUGUUGUCACUGUCCAUUCAACUGAUGAAAAUCUUCCUUUUCAACAGAAAAACUAUCAUGAUGUUGUCUGUUGGGCUUCAGUUUCUUACAGCAGUCAUCUUAAGAAUUAAACUGGUAUGGAUAAUCUGACUAUGAACUCCUUGAGGGCAGGGACCAUAUUAUAUAAUACUUCUGUGUCCUCUGCUAUUUCUUAGCAGAAUUUUGAAAAUGUGCCAAGUGUUGACUUGGUUCGAUCACUUGUGAGAAUGGAGGGACCCAUAAUGUUAAUAAUCAAUGAAGGUUGUUGGAGUUACUUACCCAAAACCUUAUGAACUUAGCCUUCCCUAGCAGAUUUAGUUUCGUAAUUUGUCCGGUAUAAGCAAACACUAAAGAGGGAUUGGGGAAAGUUGUGAGUUGAGUAGUUGGGAAAAAGGUAGUUUGCAGUUUUAUUUACGUCUCACAGCUUGACAUUUUUUGUUUGCCUUGGAGGGGGUACUUUUAAAAAUUCCUCUUUUGAAAACAAUAAAAUCUUAGAUUUUGGAUAACAGAUAUUUCUGUACUAUAUACCUCACUUAAGAUUUUCAAAGUAAUGUUUAAAAGUGCCUUUUAUAUUUUUUCAUACCACAUUGUAGGGAAGGCCAGGGUCAUUUUUUAACACUUAACUAUGCUCAAUACCUCCUCACCACUAUAAAGUAAGGUCGAAUGUUGGUUAAAGCAAAGCUGUCUGGAAUCACCCUGUCAAAAGUACUGAUUUAUAACCUUGCUACUCACAUUUCUUACUGUGGUGCCCUCCCUCUUGUUGGCUCCUGCAUCUUUGAAGUACAGGGAAAAUGAACUAAUAUGGCAGCUCCAAUAUGCAGCUAAUCCUGCCAAUGAUGUCUCCCCUGGAAGUGUUUGAGAGAAGAAUUUCUUUUCCCAGUAUGGAUUUAUGUAAACAUUUGUUCCAUUCACGAGUAGCACAUUAAUGCCUAAUUCUGGAAAAAAUACAAAGAAAAAACCUUU
rnacentral:lncRNA from 1 species